rfam:Salmo salar isolate Sally breed double haploid chromosome ssa11, whole genome shotgun sequence.
UGCAUUCACUACUGUAAGUCGCUCUGGAUAAGAGCGUCUGCUAAAUGACCAUUU